rnacentral:lncRNA from 1 species
ACUGGAAGGCAAGACCCACUGCCAUGAAGAAGAGACAGCACCCUUGGAGUAGCUUCAUGAAAAGCCAAGAAAAGGGACCUCUGGGACAUUUUAAUUGUUUAAUUCUUGGCUACAGAGACAAGACGAAGGGGAUCAGGCCAUGACAUUUGUUUUCCUUUUAUUUCUACAUAUGUAGGAAUGUUACUGAGAAUGGAUCCAAGACUAUGAGAUCAGUGCCGGUGAGAUAGCUCAUUGGGUAACUGUGCUUGGUGCUCAAACCUGACAGUCUGAAACCCGCCCCAGAAACCCACAGGAAGAUGGAGAGAAGAGAACAACUGUACAGCGCUUUCCUCUGACUUCUGCAUGUGAAUGGUGCUACACACCCACAUAACAUGUAAAUACACUCAACAAUAAUAACUAGAAUUUAAUAAGAGUCCAGACCACAGCAGUAUCAUGAAGUUUGAUUGUACUGAAAAGACUCAGUAGUGGAGCUCCAGUGGAAAUGUCACUACCUUUAAUACUGGAAUGACUCCCAUGGGACAGUGUGUUAUCAGGUGGCCAUACCCAUGGUGCUGGGGUAAAAAGAAUGUUGUCUGUUGCAGCAAGGGUCAGAGUAGGAGAAGAAUAGGUUGUGCUUUCUCCUCUCGGCACAUUUUCAUGCAGCAGAGGUUUAACCGGAUCUGCUUGGUGAGUAGAUCAAGUUCCAGAUAACCCCAUGUAUAAUCCCAUCUGUAAUCCCAUGUAUAACCUCCAUGUAUAAUGAAUCCCAUGUAUAACCCUACGUAUAACCCUUGUGUAUAACCCCCAUAUAUAACCACCAUAUAUAAUCCCUGUGUGUAACCUUCAUGUCUGCUACUUUAGCCACAGUGUUUAUAAAUUCACUAGGGGGGCAGCCAGACUAGCAGCUCCAGUCCUCAAAAUAUGUUCCCUCACUUUCUGUGGUCUCUGGUCUCUGACUUUCACAAGGCUAAAAGGAGAACAACACAGGUAUCAGUCUCUCCUGGGGUCAUAGUUCACUUUACGAGAUUAUGAUUUAUCCUUAUUCUUGGAAUUCUGCGUGUAGUUUUCCUUUUCAGCUGCCUGUCUUAUCUAGCAGCAGACAUCUGAGCACAACUGUUCACAAUCUUUUUAAAAGACCCACCCAAUUGUAUAAAAUCAAAUUCCUUUAAAGGUCCUCUCACUGGUAUAUAUUCAAAGCAUAUAGUGACUUACUGAGGCUUUUUAGUGUCUCUUAGGUAAACAUUUCUCCUGAAAAAACCAUGAAAUCCAACCUAAUAAAUCCCAAGUCUCCAGGCAGAGUAAACAUAUACUUUGUUACUUGCACACUGUAAGUAAUGGAAAGAGGAAGCCUGGAGCCUUGUAUUGCAGCUAUUACAGACAUAAUGCUGCCAUUCAGUGUGUUACUUCAUCUUGAAGGACAAUGCCCCAACCUGUAACCUGGACUAGGAUAGUACCAGAGUCUUGACCAUACUAUUAUAUCAUUUGUUAGCUGCUUCUAAGUCGAGCAAUGCCUGGUUCCUUCAGUGGUUUUGGACCUCAUAGUUCUACAACAUCCUGAAAAUUUUUACCAUACAACUAGGCCUUUGGUGCAGGCAGUGUUGGAAAUGAGGCAUGUUGGUAAAUCAAGCUUUGUAUAUGAAAGGGCGUUGGCAAAGAAGAUGGGAUAAAGGGAAACUAUAUGUGAAGUAGAUAGAAAUUUCUAAUAGGGCCAACGGAUGAUCCAUCUAGGCUGAAGUCAAGUGUAAUCAAAUGAUAUUAAAUUGAUGUCUGGUCCUUGUUGAAAGCAAGCAGGGCAUUCAGUAGUAGGCAUAGCUGUGUGGUAGUCAGCAUUCUUUCACUG